rnacentral:hammerhead_ribozyme from 1 species
AUUCAGCUGACGAGUCCUAAAUAGGACGAAAUAAGCGUCCUAGAU